UGCAAGUCGAGCGAGAAAGUGUAGCAAUACAUGAGUACAGCGGCGCACGGGUGAGUAACACGUGGAUAACCUGCCUCAGAGUGGGGAAUAACACCGGGAAACCGGUGCUAAUACCGCAUAUCCUGAUGAGAUCUGUGGAUUUUGUCAGUAAAGGAGCAAUUCGCUUCGAGAGGGGUCCGCGGCUGAUUAGCUAGUUGGUGAGGUAAUGGCUCACCAAGGCAACGAUCAGUAGCCGGUCUGAGAGGACGGUCGGCCACACUGGAACUGAGACACGGUCCAGACUCCUACGGGAGGCAGCAGUGGGGAAUUUUUCGCAAUGGGGGAAACCCUGACGAAGCAAUGCCGCGUGGAUGAUGAAGUAUUUCGGUACGUAAAAUCCUUUCGACGGGGACGAAACCGCAAGGUUGACGGUACCCGUAGAAGAAGCCCCGGCUAACUCCGUGCCAGCAGCCGCGGUAAUACGGGGGGGGCAAGCGUUGUUCGGAAUUACUGGGCGUAAAGGGUGCGUAGGCGGCUUUCUAAGUUGGAUGUGAAAACUCUGGGCUCAACCCAGAGACUGCAUCCAAAACUGGAGAGCUUGGGUUCUGGAGGGGAAAGCGGAAUUCCUGGUGUAGCGGUGAAAUGCGUAGAUAUCAGGAGGAACACCGGUGGCGAAGGCGGCUUUCUGGACAGAUACCGACGCUGAGGCACGAAAGCUAGGGGAGCAAACAGGAUUAGAUACCCUGGUAGUCCUAGCCCUAAACGAUGGAUACUUGCUGUGAGGGGGAUUGAAACCCCUUGUGGCGAAGCUAACGCAUUAAGUAUCCCGCCUGGGGAGUACGGUCGCAAGGCUG
rnacentral:rRNA from 1 species